rnacentral:rRNA from 1 species
UACGUAGGGUGCAAGCGUUAAUCGGAAUUACUGGGCGUAAAGCGUGCGCAGGCGGUCUGUUAAGACCGAUGUGAAAUCCCCGGGCUCAACUGGGAACUGCAUCGUGUGACUGCAUAGCUAGAGUACGGUAGAGGGGGGAUGGAAAUUCCGCGUGUAGCAGUGAAAAUUGGCGUAGAUAGUGGGGGAAGGAACGACCCGGGUGGCCGAA